rnacentral:rRNA from 1 species
AGAGUUUGAUCCUGGCUCAGAUUGAACGCUAGCGGCAUGCUUAACACAUGCAAGUCGAGCGGCAGCGCGGGGCAACCUGGCGGCGAGCGGCGGACGGGUGAGUAAUACGUAGGAAUCUGCCUUGUAGUGGGGGACAACCCGGGGAAACUCGGGCUAAUACCGCAUAAUCUCUAAGGAGGAAAGUAGGGGACCUUCGGGCCUUACGCUAUAAGAUGAGCCUGCGUCGGAUUAGCUAGUUGGUGGGGUAAAGGCCUACCAAGGCGACGAUCCGUAGCUGGUCUGAGAGGACGAUCAGCCACACUGGGACUGAGACACGGCCCAGACUCCUACGGGAGGCAGCAGUGGGGAAUAUUGGACAAUGGGGGAAACCCUGAUCCAGCAAUGCCGCGUGUGUGAAGAAGGCCUUCGGGUUGUAAAGCACUUUCAGUGGGGAAGAACCAAUUCAGAGCUAAUACCUCUGAGUCUUGACAUACCUACAGAAGAG